UGCAGAACUCACCUGGAAUUUGACACCAAACCACGCUCGCCAUGGGGUCUGUGGGUGACCUCUGUCCUGAGGGAUGAAUUUGGGGAUAUUUGGUUAAUUCAGGUUUGAUAAAAAGGGAAAAGAGCUCAAAAAUAGGAAUUUUUGGGGAUGAAGACACAUAAGGAAUCUGGGGAGAUUUGGGAUCUGAGGGAUUCAUCCUCACUUACCCCUAAUUUCACCCUUUCCUGCCCUCGUUUAUCCCCCAUCCCAAAUUUAUCCCUCAAUUCCCUCCCAACCCUCACUCCCCUUUCCAUUUUAAUCCCCCAAACCUCCUCCACCCCUUCCUCCCCAUUUCCCUUUCCAUUCUCCAUCUUCUCAUCCCUUUCCAUGGAAAGGUUGAGGUGGGAAAAAGAACUUUGGGAUCAUCAAAUCCAACCUGGUCACCCCCGAACGGUCCCCAUGUGCCACAUCCAGGCUUUUUUUGGGAUAAUUCCAGGACAGCAAUUCCACAUCUCAGGGUGGGACAACACUUUCCAGGAAUUUUCCUCAAUAAAUCUUCCCUGAUCCAA